rnacentral:rRNA from 1 species
GUACGCUGGCGGCGUGCCUAACACAUGCAAGUCGAACGGUUCUAAGCGCGAGCUUAGGAUAGUGGCGAACGGGUGAGUAAAAGGUAGGAAUCUACCCCUUGGACGGAGAUAGCUACUGGAAACGGUAGGUAAACUUCGAUAAGCCCGAGAGGGGAAAGUGGUGAGACAGCCGAGGGAUGAGCCUACUCUCCAUCAGGUAGUUGGUGAGAUAAAAGCUUACCAAGCCGAUGACGGAUAACCGGUGUGAGAGCAUGAACGGCCACACUGGAACUGAGACACGGUCCAGACUCCUACGGGAGGCAGCAGUGGGGAAUAUUGCACAAUGGGGGAAACCCUGAUGCAGCGACGCCGCGUGAGUGAAGAAGGUCUUCGGAUCGUAAAACUCUGUCCUUGGUGAAGAAUAAUGACGGUAGCCAAGGAGGAAGCCCCGGCUAACUACGUG